UACGAGGGGUGCAAGCGUUGCUCGGAAUUAUUGGGCGUAAAGGGUAGGUAGGUGGUCUCAUUUGUCUGGGGUGAAGGCCUUGAGCUUAACUCAAGAAGUGCCCUAGAAACGGUGAGACUGGAGUCCUGGAGAGGGUCGUGGAAUUCCCGGUGUAGCGGUGAAAUGCGUAGAGAUCGGGAGGAACACCAGCGGCGAAGGCGGCGACCUGGACAGGUACUGACACUCAACUACGAAAGCGUGGGGAGCAAACAGG
rnacentral:rRNA from 1 species